rnacentral:rRNA from 1 species
GUUCCAGCCGCCGCGGUAAUACGGAGGGUGCAAGCGUUAUCCGGAUUCACUGGGUUUAAAGGGUGCGUAGGUGGGCAGGUAAGUCAGUGGUGAAAUCUCUGAGCUUAACUCAGAAACUGCCGUUGAUACUAUCUGUCUUGAAUAUCGUGGAGGUGAGCGGAAUAUGCCAUGUAGCGGUGAAAUGCUUAGAUAUGACAUAGAACACCAAUUGCGAAGGCAGCUCGCUACACGGUUAUUGACACUGAGGCACGAAAGCGUGGGGAUCAAACAGGAUUAGAUACCCUGGUAGUCCACGCCCUAAACGAUGAUUACUCGACAUCAGCGAUACACUGUUGGUGUCUGAGCGAAAGCAUUAAGUAAUCCACCCGGGAAGUACGACCGCAAGGUUGAAACUCAAAGGAAUUGACGG